rnacentral:rRNA from 1 species
UUGAACGCUGGCGGCAUGCCUAACACAUGCAAGUCGAACGGCAGCGCGGGGGCAACCCUGGCGGCGAGUGGCGGACGGGUGAGGAAUACAUAGGAAUCUACCCUGUCGUGGGGGAUAACGUAGGGAAACUUACGCUAAUACCGCAUACGACCGAGAGGUGAAAGCGGCGGACCGCAAGGCGUCGCGCGACUGGAUGAGCCUAUGUCCGAUUAGCUAGUUGGCGGGGUAAUGGCCCACCAAGGCGACGAUCGGUAGCUGGUCUGAGAGGAUGAUCAGCCACACUGGAACUGAGACACGGUCCAGACUCCUACGGGAGGCAGCAGUGGGGAAUAUUGGACAAUGGGCGCAAGCCUGAUCCAGCAAUGCCGCGUGGGUGAAGAAGGCCUUCGGGUUGUAAAGCCCUUUUGUACGGGAAGAAAUCCUGUCGGUUAAUACCCGGCGGGGAUGACGGUACCGUAAGAAUAAGCACCGGCUAACUUCGU